UCCGUUAUCUAUCUCUCCCAUGGAAGUAUGUAUUCCACCAUCCCUUCCUCUCUCCAAUCUCUCUCUCCUCGUUGAAACCAGCCCCUUCCUCUCUCCAAUCUCUCUCUCUCCCCCGUUGAAACCAAAGCUAUUGCUCUCUCAAACUAAUGCAAGCAAGUUGCGCCAAGGAUAUGCCAUGGUGAAGGGGUUACUUCCUCACAUUUGUUUUCCCGAUCUAGAUUUGAUUGACUCAUAGCCCAUCUAUGCCCAUCAGGUGAUUCAGAGCACAGCUAUAUCCAUCAGGCCCAUCAGUUGUCGUUGAAGUAGCAGCAUACAUCGGACAUACCAAACAAACAUAGACACUCAUGCAUGGGAUUUCAAAGAUUCAUGAUACUGUGAUUCGAAUUGAGUGAGUAUGUUGAAAGAGCGAAAUGAGUACACGUGCUAAUAGUUACGAAUCUUGGAAUAUACAUGGAUGAAAAAAUUAAUGCGACAAGGUCAGCCAAACUGAUGACAAUUAUUUGGGCCGUGUUGUCCCCGUAACAUCAACAAAUGUCAAGAAUUUGAAAGGUGUGUGUUCAAUAAGGUACAAGUAUUGCUUGCUAUGUGUAUAUUUAUUAUAUAGGACAAUUACUAUGAAGUGCGCACAUAGUACUCGCUAUCAUCUACAAGUGCAA